rnacentral:rRNA from 1 species
AGGACGAACGCUGGCGGCGUGCCUAACACAUGCAAGUCGAACGGAGUUACUUGUUUAGAUCCCUUCGGGGUGACGAACUUUAACUUAGUGGCGGACGGGUGAGUAACGCGUGAGUAACCUGCCUCUGAGAGGGGAAUAACGUUCUGAAAAGAUCGCUAAUACCGCAUAACAUAUCGAAGUCGCAUGGCUUUGAUAUCAAAGAUUUUUAUCGCUCGGAGAUGGACUCGCGUCCGAUUAGCUUGUUGGCGGGGUAACGGCCCACCAAGGCGACGAUCGGUAGCCGGACUGAGAGGUUGAUCGGCCACAUUGGGACUGAGACACGGCCCAGACUCCUACGGGAGGCAGCAGUGGGGGAUAUUGCGCAAUGGGGGGCCAACCCUGACGCAGCAACGCCGCGUGAAGGAAGACGGUUUUCGGAUUGUAAACUUCUUUUGUCAGGGACGAAUUCUGACGGUACCUGACGAAUAAGCUCCGGCUAACUACGUGCCAGCCGCCGC